CCAAACCCUAAUAUACGCCGACAUAACACCACCAUCCUCCUCUGUCCGUCGCUGGCCAGAAAUCACCUCCGCCGACGGAGAUGCUCCGAUGACUUCCAAAAAACACCACACCACCUCCGGUCCUUUCACCUCUCACACCUUGAGACCAACGUCAGAGUCCGUCAAGUGUCUCUGCAACUCUCUAGAAGUGAAGCUACGGUUCAGAGUUACUGCAUGGAGAUCCCAGAGUCUGAACUAAAAGCUAAGUCCUUGCUUUAAUUCAUCUCACUUCUUAAACUUUAAUUUAGUCAAAUCAUAGUAACCUUGCCUAAUAGAUCACUGUCUGUGUUUGAUUCUUGAAUAAGGCCAGUUGGGAUUCUGGCUAAUAUUUAGAAUUAGUUUUUUUUCAUAGAUGCAUGUUUAAAUAUGCUUAUCAAGUUUUUGGAAUUGAUCUAGUUUUGUUUAUUCAACUGAUGCCGCGUCUUGGUUUCUUUUCUUUGACUCACACUAAUAGCAUAAGCCUGUUACUUGAUACAUUUGAAUUUAAGUUGAUUACUUGAUAUAUUUGAUUUUGAAUUUCGGUUGGUUAAUUGAUACAUUGAGUUCUUGAGUUUCAGUUGAUUAACAAUGGAUAAUAAAUAGCUUGACUCUGAUUUCCUUAGUUUAGAUUUAGAAUAGUUAAUUAUACCUGUCAAUCUUUUAAUAUUUGCUCUUUUUGCUGAGUAUUUUAACCCCUUGGUAAUUAAUCUUGGUCAAUUUUGACCAAUUUAAAGGGGAGGGGUACAGUCAAAACUUGUUUUAGCCUAGGCUCGUAAUAUAGAUUUGGUCCAGGGGUGUUUGGGGGUAUUUCAAAGUAGAAAAUAUUGUAGUAACUAACAUUGGAACCUACUAGAAUCUUCUAAAUGGAGUUUCAAUCUGAAAUUCAGGACUUAAUUGGUAUCAUUUGGCCACAAGGCAUAAAAUAAGGGAUUAAUUAGCUAAAAUCUGAGAUUAAAAGAGGGACUUAGGGUGUAAUUGAAAAUCUGAAGAGUUGCCCUAACUUUAGCUUAUAAAAGGGUGGUCUUUUGCCUUGGGGAGGAGGAUAUUUUUUUUUCUGGUGAAAAAAAAGAGAAAAAAAUAUCAUAAGAGAAAAACAACUGAAAAUUUUAGCAGAAAUACUGUUCCAUUGGAGAAUUUCUAAAUUUUUAAAACCCCUACUAUAAAAUGAUUUCUGAAUAGCUGAAAAGGGUUACAGUGAGUUGAGUUUUGUCGGGUGUUCUAGUGUUUGGGGUCGGAUUCUGAUUGAAUUGUGAUUGCUGGGUGUUAUAACACUGUUAUUGGUUCAAAACUGCUCAAAAAAUUGGUUUUCUCUUUGUUCAUUCUGGGUUGGUGCAUUGCUGCUGAGUUCUGACUGAUGUGUUACUCUGCUGAUCCUCUUUGGUUUCUUCCCAUAUUUCAAUCUUCAGGUACACUUCCUUGUAACCAUGAAGGCUGUGAAAUAGAUUGGAAAAAUGGAUUGAAAUGGAGAUGUUAAUGCAUGAGAUGUAUUUCAGCUUUAUUGGAACAAUUUGUACUUGUUAUGGUUUUCUCGUUCAUUAAUGUUUAUAAUUGGCUUGUAAUUAGUGCUUUAGAUGAUUUGUGUAUCGGCUCUUAGUUCACCCCUUUUCCCUCGAUUUCCUCAAGUGUUGAAUACCUGAAGUGUACUAAAGAAUUG
rnacentral:lncRNA from 1 species